UUGGCAUUCACUCUGCAUUUUUCUUCCUUUGACCCUUAUCCACAUCCACCAGUAUGAGUUAACGAAAUUCCGGAAGAAAAGGGAUUUAAUCCCUCAAGCCUUGUGCCGAUAAAUGGAUUUACAUACCAUUCAAACCCUCCAUCGCAAAAAUUCUAAACUCUAUUAUAUCACAUUCUUGUUCGAGUAGCCGCCACCAUCAAUUCCCGGAUCAGCAAUUAGCAAUUAUUCGGGUAGUCGUCGUUGCUCUUGACGUUGAUACAGUUUCACAUUGUUGCCGCCAUCAAUCCGGACCAGUUCGCUGCCACAAACAUCCGCAUUGCAACCGCCGUGACACCAGCGUAACACUCAGUUCCGUUCCGUCGCGCCGCACACCAUCGGAAGUUGCCGCUGGGUCGAACUUUGAUAAGCCAUACAACCACCGGAGGCUCGCCGUCGCACUUCGCUGUGACAACCGCCGCCCUUCGACUAACGAUUCAGGAACGUAAACCCCCACUGCCGCUCACCAUAGUGCGGUUCCGUUUGACUACCCGCUACUGUGCUCGUUAGUCUCCAUCCAAACCUUUUGGCGAUUAAGGUUCUUGACUUUCUGAGAUCGACUUGAUUAUUGGUUUUGCUUUGCUUGCUAAUAAGGUAAUUUGGGUAACGUGGGGAAUACGUGAAGAGUGUCGUGAAGAUGAAGAUUUAUUUUUAUUUCGGUAAUGUAAUGAAAAUGUAAUUAGGAUCUUUUGUUUUCAUCGUUAUGGAUUGGUUUUAGUUUUGAUAUCUGUAUGGGUGACACGUCAGCCUGUUCAGGUUGGGGUGUUACAAUUAUGGUAUCAGAGCUAAGGCUCUUUCCUGUAGAAAACUUAAACCUUAAAAACAAAACCUGUGAGGUUAUGGGUAGACGUUGGUUUAGGAUUUCAACUUCUAAUCAAUUUUCGUACUCGAUAGUUUGUUGUCUUUCAGCAUUUGUUCUGGUGUUCGCUUUAGUAUUUGUUUUUAGAACUAUUGCUAACUAUGAUUUGUUUAUCGCCACACUAGCUUUCUUUACAAUUUUAAUAGGUUAUUGAGAUGCAUGAUAAGAGGACCAUUAGAACACUUAUGUAAGGUAAUUGACAAUUAUGGUCGCGAACAUAAUCGUGAAUUACAGGUACAUAUGUGUGCUUUUGGACUCCUACUGUGUAGAUUAGUAUGUACCCGAAUUUGUUGCGUCUUAGCAUUCUAAAUCUCACUUUACUUGUUUUGUUAUUUUUGAAUUUGAAUUUAUUUAGUAUGCAUCUAUUGACCGUCUCGGAACUCCACACUUUAGUAUGUUUCAUAUAUAAGUAUACGAUGUUUAAAAUUCGUUUCGUAACUGUUAUAUCUAAAUUUGCUCAUCAUCCA